CAGCUAGUCUGUUACCCUUUUUGUGGGAGGGGGUUUAAAAUUUUUGGCAGAAAGGAAGGGAAGUAAUAAAAACCAACUUCUUAAUAUUUUGUUCACCAGUGGAGGUGAGGUGCUAUUUUAGGGGAACAGGAACUAAUGGGGUGGCCAACACUGAAGGGUUGGACAGAGGCUUAAAAAUAAAACAAGGGCUAAGAGGCUGUGUUAGUUCUUCUACUUUACCUACCUGCUUUCUGAGUCACCCCAUGCUAGCAAGUUGAGGCUUUCCCACUCUCACCUAACAACCCUCUUUUUCCCAGUAAAGCAAGAACAGCUUUCAUUUCACUCCAAUAAGCCCUUUUUCCAUCUCCCUCCUAUUUAAAAAUCCCCCCUCCCCCUUGUAGCUCCUAAAGCUGCCUCUGGUCCCUACCAGCAUUAAACUAUAAGUUGUAGGCUUGCAGAGAAUAAAUUUCUUCCCUUCUGACACCUGCUGCUAGUGCUUGGAGAAAGCUUAAGCAGAAGCUGAGGGUAAAAAGUGAAUUGGCACCAAACUUGGCACCUUGGCAUAUAUACCCACUUCACAUGGGCUUAUACACAUGAUCUCACUAACCAAGUGUACAAGCUUCAGGUAGUCUGCUACAAAGAAAGAUGAAGCAUUCAGCCAAAUCCUGUAUGUUCUGCCAUAAAGACCAUCUCCUGCUUCCCUGGUAAUCUGGUCUCAAUGCAAGGACCCCAUGUGAUGUCCAGGAAUUUGGGGCCACAUAUUUAUAACUGUAACUCGAUCUCUGACAAGCUAUAACAAUGCCUUCAUUAUCCUCAAUGAAUAUUAUAUAUGAUACUGUUACCUUGUUCUGUUGUACCUUGUUGCCUGCCUGAAGGCAUUAAGUCAAAGGAAGCUGCAAAAAGGAAUGUUGCUUUACCACAUACAAAAUGGUGAAUCAUCAUGACAAAAAGACCCUCAAGUAUAUAGCUUCAACUUAAUGUUGAAGACUAUACCUUGCUCAAGCCAUCAGUGCUGGAAUGCAUCACCAGGGAAAUGAAACCAUAUGUAGUCCCUCUACAAGAAACACGUAUACAGCAGCUGCAGAAAAUGAAGCUCACAGGCUACGACUUUUCAAACUCAGUAGCCAGUAGGAUGCAUGGGCUUGCUAAGUUAAUCAGAAAUGAUUUGCUAUAUACUGCCAAGGGACAUAAUACUUCCCAGAGUGCAAUAGAAUGGAGCAUUGUCUGGGUCAAUAACAUAAUCAGCCAUAUAUGCAAGCCAGCCUCUGCUGUGUUGUUGAUCACAUCCCUCCCUAGUUAUGACCAGACAUCCUUAUGUGCAGGUGACUUCAGCUGUCAACAUUGAGAUUGGAGAUAUUCCUCUAAGAGUAGCAAUGGAGAUGAUCUUUGUCUUUGGGCAAGCCGGAAUGAUAUAACACUCAAUGGUAUGACCCAACGGUGCAUUUGAACAUUGGAACAUUCUACCAAAUCUAGAUCUUGCCUGGUGGAAGGGAAACUUGAAUAAAACACUGAUAAGAAAUGUACUUGACAAGUUUCUGUCAUCUCAGCACAGACUCUAACUCAUCAGCAUACUAUGAUUUUUUCAGCCCACACCAUCCAGACCAGCUCUAAGAUGGAACUUCCAGAAGGCAGACUGGCAGAAAUACCAAAGGCUAACCAACAAGACAACAAACCAAUUAAAGGAUCCUUCAGAAAUCAACACUGAUUAAGUCUACAGUACAUUUACAAACUGCCUAAUUGAACUAGCCAUACUCUGUUUAUCUAGAAGCUAUAGAAACCAUUAUGUGCCGUGCUGGGACAAGCAGUCUAAACAGCUCUUUAACAUCACCAAGCAACGCAAUGACCCAGUAACUAUAAAAAAGAACUAUAAAACAGCUGGCUACCACAUAAAACAAUAUAAAAAAAGGAGACGCAACUUACCACCAUAGAAGGAUUGGCUAUGACUCACUCAAGCAGACAAGCUGGUGCAUCAUUAACUGCCUUACAGGCAGAGACCAAGAAAACAUUUCCCUGUCUCGGCAAACUUCAUCAUGAACAUACUGUGCAACAACAGCGAACACAGUAACCCAAGUAAGCAACACACAAAAAUGACACCUGACUUUUUAACAACUUUAAUCACCCAACGUCAACCUUAAUUUAACCGCCCCCAUCUCUGACAAUGAGUUUGACAUGGCUAUUAAAGUGAUCUAGAGUGGCAAGGUUGCUUGAUCAGAUAAGAUUUUCCCAGAAUUCAUUACUAAGUUCAGAAGCACAAUGAAAAAAUGGCUUCAGAAAAUGCAUGUAUAAAUGCCUAGAAAAUAACAGGCGUCCAAAAAUCUGGAGAAAAACUGACAUCAUUGCUAUCCUAAAACCCAACAAACUACUAAAGGAUCCAAAGAGCUACCAAGCCACCUCACUACUCUGCAUUGCAUACAGACUCAUGGAGCUCAUAAUCCUGAAUAGAACAGAGAACACUGUUGACCCCCAGCUCCCAAAAGAACAAGCCAACCAAGUUAUAUUACAUACAUUUGACAGAAAAUGGAUUUGAAAUGAGGCAGAAAACAGGCGUAGUCUUUAUUAAACUUACAGCUGGCUAUGACACUGUAUGGCACCAAGGCCUCAAAUUAUAAACUGCGCUGUAUGAUACCUGACCACAAGCUAUGCACUUUCAUCAUGAACAUGAUCUCAAGCAGAACAUUCAAACUCACAACCAGCCAAGGAUAAAAAAGCAGAGUAUGAACUCUGAAGAAUGGAGUUCCCCAUGGGUCAGUGCUAGCACCAAUACUUCCAAUGUAUGUAUCUCAGACUUCCCACAUACAAUAUCUAAGCAAUAUAUGUACACUGGUUACGUCACCAUAGUAGCCCAAGGAACAGAUAUGACAACUUGAAAAUAUGUUGAGUACUGACAAGGAACUCGUUGCUGACUAUGUCCAGAAGUGGCGGUUAAAGUUGAGCAUCAAUAAAUCAGCACCAUUACUCUUCCACCUGGACAAUCGUUGAGCUGAAUAUCAGGGUAGCCAACUGCAUCCUUCUCUAUGAGUAUACCCCAACCCACCUAGGAGUUGCAUUAGACUAUUCCCACACCUAUAAAUAUCACAUUCAGAAGGUUAACAGUAGUCUCUGCACAGGUAGCUUCCUUAGAUUUUUAGUCAGCAUGACAUGGGGUACCAACUUCAAAGUGCACUUGCAAUGGUAUAUGCCCCAGCAGAUUACUAUGCUUCUGUAUGGACCAUAAGUUGUCACACUAAAAAGUUUGACACUGUGCUUUACAGUGCUCUGAGAUUUAUAACAGGCUGCACAACUUACGCACACACAUAGUUGUAGUCCCUGUACUCGGGCAUUAGACCAAAUGAUGUAAGAUAGGCCCUAACGUUAUUACUGGCUAUAGGGGCAGGAGAUGAAAUAACCUGCUCCAUUAACUGUUAACUAAAGACCUGAACAGAUGAAGGCUUAAGAAGCUGAAAGGUCAUAAACCAUUUGUACAUGAAGCACACAAGCUCCUGGAAGAAGCUGGGGAUGCUGAACCAAACCUAUGGGCAUCAGUGGAGUGGGUCAACCCCUGGGAAAGUUCAGAUCUAUUCCUACAGCAUUUCAUACCAACACCAAACAAGUACCCCACUGGACAUGACCUUGACAGAGAACAGCAGGUCAAGCUGAACAAACUGAGAUCUGGAUAUGGAUGCUUCAAAACAACACUUCGCAAGAUGACCACCUUAGACAGCCCCUUGUGUGAAUGCAGUGUCCAACAAAUAGCACAGCACUUAACUGAAAGCUGCAACCUAUGCCCAGACGGAGCAGGUAGAAUAUGCACCAUGGGUGAUAAUACCAGACAGUGGCUCAUAGAUUUGGAAGUUGAUAUAUUCCAUAAAAAAGAGAGUGUAACAGUAGCUGGGGUUUCAUACAAGCUAAACUGUGUGUAUUGGGUGACUGAGAGAUGGUAACAUGCUGGGAAAUAAUAUGGUAUAAAGUAAUUUAGGAUGCCUAUACAUGAGCACAAUGUGCUGUAAUUACAAUGUGUCAGAGUAGAGUCAAUCAAGUCUGUGUAUCAGCAGCCUCGCAUUUCAAAAUGGUGGAGAUGUUAGCACCACUGUCUCCCAGAUAGUGCUAAGGGAUCAUUAAAGUACAAUUAACCCUUAAAUAGAACUUAAAAUAUGAAUGCAGACAACUCAGUGUCCUAAAAUCGAAGUCUAACUGUAUUGGUACAAGUACUGUCUUAGCAGUUUCUAUAUUCAGAGAGAGAAAAACAUUCAGUACAAUAAUCUCACCCAAUCCAAGAUGUUACUUUGCUCAACAGAAAAGAUGGCCACUCAGUUCCUGAAAGCAAAGGGUACAUUGUGGGCUGAGGCAGUCCAGAAAGGUGUUGAAGACUGGAUUUAUCACAAUGAUGAACGUUCUUGCUGCCCCCUUUUAUGCUUUUCUUCAACUUCACUCCUUUGCUGACUCCUAGCUUUUGGAUUGAUCUCUCUACAGUCAGUAUACUGUUCAUCUUUUAUCCUGUCAGCAUAUUCCUUUGUCUAACAGAUCCAUCACAAGCACACCUCUUAAUUUGGCCUUUUUCUGGUGUCUUACUUUGGGCAUAGUCCAUUGGUCUCCCUUAUCACCUUUCAUUAAUAUAUCCAAUCCUUUCAUCCCUCUGAUUCAGCUGGUUAGUGCCAAAUUCAGUUAAUUGGAGCUGGUAACAAGGCCAUUGCUAUGUUAUGUUAAAAGAACUUCUCACAGUGAUAAAAAUAAAGAUAUCAUAUAAUGAGCACCUAUGAGCUCUACAAAAACAACCCUCAGCUGGCUAAUAAAAAAAAAAAGUUAAUAAGAGCAAAACUUAAGCAAUGAUUAAAUAAGGCUAAACAUAAACAAUACUAUAAGCAGAUGCAACUUCAAAGCAUUAAACGUAACAAGCUACCCUAACAGAGGGGGCGCUUUAUCUAAUGGUUAUUCAACAAACUUUAUCUAAAGUGUCCCCAUCACCAUUUUGAAGUGUGGGGACACUGAUAUACAAGACUUUCCAGGUGCGUUAAUUAGAGCAGCUCUUGGAGCCACUCUAAUUAAAGUGCCACCCCCGGAGCAUGCAUUAAAAUGCUAUAGAUGGUAAAAAGUGUCCUUCAGAUGUGUGAGGUAUCCAGAUUCUAUAGGAGAUGUGUACUAAAUUUCAGAGAGAAGGGGACACCAAUCUCAGCUAACUUUAAAACAAAAAAUACCUUUGGACUGAGAAAUAUAGAAAGCUUACAGAGAUCACUGCCUUCAUGGUAACGAAGCAACAGGCUACUUGGACUAUGAAAAAAAAAGAAGUUAGCCAGGUAUCAUACAGAUUUUUUUUGGCCAGUCAUGGCUGCAGAUGUUAAAAACCAGGUAUCUAACAGUUCAGAAAGGAACCUUCCAGCAAGAAGAGGCAACUGUUUUGUGGAGAAAUGCUUACAUUUGCUAUGUGUUCAGCUAGAUUGACUUGACUGGCCGGCCAAUGGCCAGAAACAUCAGCUGGAAAUCAGUAUUAGCAAAUAAAAUAUUGCUUUCUCUCAAAGAAUGUGUUGGUACCACCACAGUUGUUCUAUCAAUACAUUUGUAAUGGUAUGGUCCAUGUACUACUGAAGUUCAUCUGCAUCUGAAGUGAUUAGGGAACGGAAUUUGAAUCAUGCCUUUUAUGAAAAAUUUGCUGAAAACUCCAUAUAAUCUAGACAAGCACUGAUGUUGCUCAUUCUGGAAGCAUUGCAUGGGGAGAAGGGGAGGAUAUAUCCAUUUAAGAGAGAAAAUGAUAGCAGUCUCCAAAUACUUGAAGGGAUGCUACUAGGAAUAGGGUUGGCAGUUGUCUUAUGUAGAGUUUAGGUCAUGAUUUGCAUGGGAUGUUUUUGCUAAGAAGGAUCCAGCUUCAGGCAGGGGGUUGGACUAAACGACCUCUGGAUUUCCCUUCCAGCCCUAUUUCUUUUAUGAUCUAUUACUCGGUGUGCCCGUCUCUGUUCCAGGAGGUGCUCCCGGGCAACUCUUGCGCGGGCGGCUGACCGGGCCUGCCCUGCUCUCGCUGGGGAGUCCCUGGAACUCGCCAGCCGCGGUCAUGGCUGGGCCUGCCGCCGGGGUGUCCCCCUCGCUGCGGCCUCCAGCACCGAAGCGCCCCUGGGCAGGCUCACACAGGGCUCCGACCUCCCCUACACCCCGGCCAAUGCCACCUUGGGUCGUGGACCUUCCGUCCCUUGUCCCCGAGCGAAGACUGAGAGUCGAGGACCCUCUCCACCCUUUGCAGCUCUCUUCCCCAACACCCCGCCGGGACCUCUGCCCGGU